UAAGAUUGUCAUGGUCAGACCGACUGAAG
rnacentral:piRNA from 1 species